rnacentral:rRNA from 1 species
AUACAGAGGGUGCAAGCGUUAAUCGGAAUUACUGGGCGUAAAGCGCACGUAGGUGGUUCAUUAAGUCAGAUGUGAAAGCCCCGGGCUCAACCUGGGAACUGCAUUUGAAGCUGGUGAGCUAGAGUAUGGUAGAGGUAAGUGGAAUUCCAGGUGUAGCGGUGAAAUGCGUAGAUAUCUGGAGGAACAUCAGUGGCGAAGGCGACUUACUGGACCAAUACUGACACUGAGGUGCGAAAGCGUGGGGAGCAAACAGGAUUAGAAACCCUAGUAGUCC